CCGGCUAGGCGGCUCACCCGUCCAGCUUCCUCCUCCCUUCCUCUCCCGCUGUCGUCGCAGGCCAAGGUCUCGUGUGCCGUCCAGGGGGAGCUGAACUGUUGCAACAGCAUGGGCGCCCUGGAGAUGCACCAGCGCUUGGAGCAGCUCAAGAGGCGCAUCCACCGCGUGCACUUAUACUCCCAGGGUGAGGCUCCAUCCGCACUGGGCUCGAGCGGCCUGGUUGACCUGACUCACAUCUCCCCGGUGGUCCACAGAAGGCUAUCUACACUUGGUCUGUCAAUCAGGACUCGGCAAGGCCCGCAUACUGUUUGGGUGGGAGGCAAAUUCGUGUACACCCCGGGCCCUGGGAGAGUGAAAUGAGAGGUGACCUCAUUAGUGGCCACACAGGGUGGCAGGUGGGGAUUCUGGCCUCGUCUUUUGAAGUUACUUUUGACGCGGGAUGCCCUCACUUUUCCCCGAUGCUAUGGACUAAAAAACUGUGUUGUCCUUUGGGGGACCCACUCGAUGGGUUUGUAUCUGUUGUCUGGGUCCACUGGUGUGUUUGCUCUUCCCCCUCUGCCUGUUAUUUCUUGGAUAGUCGUUCUAAAGCCUUGAUGAAGUUUGGAUUUGGUCCUUGGGAGUGUCCGUGUUCAGGGAUGGAUGGUGGUGUUGGGCUUCUUUGUCUCGCCUCACAUCGGGGGGCCCAGCUCAUCUGGGGGGGGUCCCACAGCACCGUUUCAUCCAACAGCUGGACCCACAGCAUGUGUAGCUCUUACCGCGGUCUCCCAAGAUGCUGGUGUGGUGUUAUUUAUCCCUGUUUUACAGAAGAGGAAAUGGAGGCCCGGGGAGGUUGUCCGGCCUGUGUAGGCCACACAGGUGUGGUGGAGCUGGACUGAGACUCAGGGCUGGUGCUCAGCCUCCAACCAGUGCUCCCUGGCAGUGCUUAUCUCACUCUAGAUGAGCCGUCUGAGAGGCUGCAGGAGGGGCUUGUUACCUCCUACUUUGCUGGUGGGACCCAGCUUUGAACAGUAGAAAGAGCCAGACUCAUCAGAACAGGAGAGAGGAGGUGCAGGCCUUAGGUUCCUCCCCAAGCCCACCUCUGCAAGACUUCCUCCCCAUGCACCCUUUGCGCACCCCCAGGAUGACCCGGGGCUGCGUGUAUUCGGUGGGCUCACUGUCUGGGGACUGGACAACCCACUGGGGUGCUGGCAGGCUCCAGGGCUUUGUGCCAUGCCUGGGAGAGUGGGUGGCAGGCCAACCUGCUCGGGCCAAGCCCAGCCCUCCUUGGCGGUGACACUCCAUCACUUCCUGUGAAAUUCUGUCCUGGAAGGCAGACAGCCUGGCAUGGUCCCUGCAUGGGCCUUGUAUAGUUCGAGCUUCCCACUUCACUCGUAAGAUAGAGACAAAAGUACCGUUUCCCUGUGGGGCGGUUUUGGGGCCAGUGAGGUGGCGUGUGUUCGUGCCUGUCGGUAGUGGUGCCCUUUGUGGGCCUGCCUCCCUCCUUGUUGGAGGGCCUGUGUUUGGCGCCCCCCCAACCUGUUCGGGCCUUGGGAUAGGUGAUCACCGACACCUUCUGUCCCAGAUGCCAAGAAGAGAAGCAAGCGAAAACCGAAGAAACCAGAACCCAUCCUCUUGUGGGACCGGUCGACCUCCCCGUGCCUGCCACCAACCCUGCUGCCACUGCCUGCCACCACCAUGGCCUCCAUCGUGGCCCCAUCAACCUCUGUCUACACUCUGCCCAGGGUCUUUGGCCCCUUCCCUCCGCUGCCCAGCACAUCGAUGGAGUAAUUGGAAGUUUCGAGGUCUGAAGCAAAAUUGGACUGGACUGGCCCGAAGAGCCGCGUAGUCGAUCUGACCCCCUUGGUCCUCAAUCCUGGAGGCUUUCACUUCUCGUACUUGGCCAGGAACAAUGCGCACAAGCUCCACUGCCCUGGCUUCCCCUGGCCCUCAGCCUGUAGUGGUUCUGCCAGCACCGAGGAGAUGCUAUCCCCAUCUGUGAAGGCCUCCAUCUUCACCCUGCCUGUCCUGCUCAAGUUCCAGCCUGUGCCCAGACCCAAAGAUGAAUCAGAGAAUGACCCUGGCAGCGCAGAGUCCACGCCCCACCAGAGGGACCCAUAACCUCUUCUGUACAGACCACGGCAGGAGAAUGAAUAAAGUUCCCCUGGUGGUUCCUUCCUCGUGCCACGCUACCCAGGGGCCGUGCAGUCCCACGGGCUCUCUGCAACCCCAAGAGGUGGUCAGGGUAGCGCAAGCCUGAGGCUCUUUGGCCUGAGACUGCACACAGUAGGUGGUCAGGUCAGUGAAGUCCCCUCACUUGCACCUAACCUGGGAACUCAGUCCUGUGCACUUUGAAAGAGUGUUGAGUGCGGGGAGUGUGUUGCCCCUCCCUGCAGUAACUCUGUGGCCCCGUUGUGCCUCACUUGACCCCACUGAGUUGCAAGACUACCAGUUUUUGCUACACCUGGCUCCUAAACACAAGGCUUAUCUGGGUGCAAGUUUAGAAACAGUGGUCUGUUCCCUCCUGGGAGGAAAAUGAGCUGGCGAGUCAGUUUCCAAUUUGGCACCUCCCUAAAGAGUUUCAAAGACACGUGACUCUGAUUACCUCCCACGCUGACUUUAGAAUCAAACCUGCAUGUGAGACAUGAGUCCUCACAAAGUGCCCAAUGAUGCUGGCCAUUAGCAGAUGUCGGUUGAGCCCUGUGGAUGCCCUGCACCUUGCUUGCUACUGGAGAUAAUAGACCAAGCAGUUGGGGUCCUGGCCCUUAAGGAGCUUAUGUCCCAUCCAUGUGUGUGUGGUAAGCCAGUACAUAGAUAAAUUAGUACAGGAUUACAAAUUGUGAUAAGCCCUUGUGGGAGCUGAGAUCGAGGUGUAUGGGGUGACUGGGUGGACAGUGGUACCUUGAGGAGAGUGGACACUAGGGGUAGAUGGGGGUGGAGAAUUAUGCUUUUACCAGACAUGUUAAAUUUGAGUUCAGUCGGUGCCCAGGUAGAGGUCAGAAGGCAGAAGUGCUGGCCAUUUCGUGUUUGGAGACAAGGGAUACAGGUGUUUAAAGCCAUGAGCCUGGGCAAGGUCACCCAGUGCUUGAGUGUAGAGGGAGGUCCAGGGCUCGGCCGGGGCAUACAAACGUGGUGGUCCAGCCGAAGGAAGGGUCAGUCAGAAGAGACCGAAGGGAUCAUCAGGGCUUUAGACCUUCAGGCUUCAUGGCCACCGGCCCCUGGGCCGCCCAGGAGAGAGGCCUGCAGGCGGUGGGGACCAAAUGGGCGGUAAGUGGGCAGGCAGGGAAUGUGUACGUCGCUUUGGAGGUUUCGGCCUGGCGGGGAGCGGUGAUGGGGCCGAGGCUGGGGGUUCUUGGGGCUCCAGGCCUAAGA